rnacentral:rRNA from 1 species
UACGUAGGGUGCAAGCGUUGUCCGGAAUUAUUGGGCGUAAAGGGUGCGUAGGCGGUCUGUCGCGUCUGCUGUGAAAACUCAGGGCUUAACCCUGAGCUUGCAGUGGGUACGGGCAGACUAGAGUGCGGUAGGGGAGACUGGAAUUCCUGGUGUAGCGGUGAAAUGCGCAGAUAUCAGGAGGAACACCGGUGGCGAAGGCGGGUCUCUGGGCCGAUACUGACGCUGGAGGAGCGAAAGCGUGGGGAGCGAACAGG